rnacentral:rRNA from 1 species
UACGUAGGGUGCAAGCGUUGUCCGGAAUUAUUGGGCGUAAAGAGCUCGUAGGCGGUUCGUCACGUCGGCUGUGAAAUCCCGAGGCUCAACCUCGGGUCUGCAGUCGAUACGGGCGGACUUGAGUACUGCAGGGGAGACUGGAAUUCCUGGUGUAGCGGUGAAAUGCGCAGAUAUCAGGAGGAACACCGGUGGCGAAGGCGGGUCUCUGGGCAUUAACUGACGCUGAGGAGCGAAAGCAUGGGGAGCGAACAGG